rnacentral:rRNA from 1 species
UAGUCAUAUGCUUGUCUCAAAGAUUAAGCCAUGCAUGUCUAAGUAUAAAUAACUUUUAUAUUGUGAAACUGCGAAUGGCUCAUUAAAUCAGUUAUGAUCUACGUGACAAAUUCUUUACUACUUGGAUAACCGUGGUAAUUCUAGAGCUAAUACAUGCAAAAAAGCCCUGACUUACGAAGGGGUGCACUUAUUAGAUAAAACCAACGCGGGGUAAAACCUGUUUCUUGGUGAAUCAUAAUAAUUAAGCGGAUCGCAUAGCCUUGUGCUGGCGACGGUC